rnacentral:tRNA from 1 species
GCGGGGGUACCCAAGCGGUCAAAGGGGCAGGACUUAAGAUCCUGUGGCUUAGUGCCUUCGGGGGUUCAAAUCCUCCCUCCCGCA